UAGCCUAGUGAUUAAGGCUAUGGAUCGCCAAUCCGGUGACGGCGGGUUCGAUUCCCGU
rnacentral:tRNA from 1 species